GACAGAGGUGCCGAGCGUUAGGCGGAAUCACUGGGCUUAAAGCGUGUGUAGGCGGAGUUCUAAGUACCUUGUGAAAUCCCACGGCUCAACCGUGGAACUGCUUGGUAUACUGGUUCUCUUGAGCCACCUAGGGGCAACCGGAACAAACGGUGGAGCGGUGAAAUGCGUAGAUAUCGUUUGGAACGCCAAUGGUGAAAACAGGUUGCUGGGGGUGUGCUGACGCUGAGACGCGAAAGCCAGGGGAGCGAACGGG
rnacentral:rRNA from 1 species